UUGUGUUGUACCCGAGUUCCCUCCUGGAGCCUAAAGUUCUUUUCCUGGGAUUCUCGACCCAGUCUGCAGCACAGUCACACUAUAGAGCCGGGGAGGGCUGAGCUGUCCAGGGAGACGCACGUGAAAACCAAAAGGACCCCACACUCCCACCCAGAUGUGCAGAAGAGUCUAAGGGAGGGAUCUGACUGUAUCCUCGUGGAUGAGAAAGACCGCUCACCUGAACGUGGAGGGAGAGAUGCGCAUUCUUUAGGUCUGCAGUUAGCCAGGCCAGCUCGCAUGUGCAUUUCAGGGAAGGGCCUAGCUCUGUGGACACCUUGCCCAAUUCAGAAGAAGGGAUCAUGACUGGGGAGCUCUUAACACCACACUGCUUUGCAGGAGGGUUGGGAAGGGGUGAUGGGUCUGAGAUCUAUGAACACAAAUCAAUCACCAAAUGAAUAGCCCAUGAGAAUAAGAAUAACAACAGCCAUAAAGGCAGGAGGCCUGGGAUAUGAAUUCUUUUGUUUGUCCCUCAGACACAGCCUAUGACGUCACAGAACACGUUCCCUUGUGGAAUCUGCCCUAUUUAAAUUUCUGAAUUCUCUGUUGAUGAAAAUACCAAAGGGCAGAAUUUUUAAAAUAUACCUUGUAGGGAGCCUAUAACUGAGUACAAAUUUUCUACACCUUGUGCUCACAGUGUGCCGGGAAUUAUUUUAAGUGCUUAAAAACAUUAUCCUACUUAUUCAUUCGUCUGACAUAGGUGUUAGAUCCACUUUAUAGAUGGGAAAACAGAAACUUCUACAGGCAAAGAAACUUCACACAGCAAACAUGCUACAGAGCUCCUGCUCUUUUAAUUGCCCCCAGCUCAGUUAGGAGAGUGAACUGGUCAUUUCCAUCUGCUCUUUCAGAAGGCACUGUGUGUCCUGAUGAUUAUGGGUCCCAGCACGUGCACAGGCCACCCAUCACCUAUCUCAGGCCAAACUGUUUUCUCACUUGACCAUGAUUCCUGCCCUCCAUUAUACAUCUGGCUGUUCCAUCGGAUAAGCACAUCGGCGUAGCAAGUUGGAACCUAACUAGGAACCAAAAGACAAUGUGCAGAGCAUCUCCACGGCUUACUUUACUAGAGAGAACUGGAUAGCUGGAGGACUUGAGCUCUGCCAAGCUGGUGUCUCCUACUAUGCCCACCCCCCACCCCCGGCCAAGAGUCAAGCUAUAAUAUCUAAGGGUCUGUCAGAAUCAUGGAAAGUUGCUGCCUCUGGAGGAGAUCAUAAAGACCUCCAGUCUAUCACCUUAAUCUUGAGCAUGGCAAGGCUCACAGAAGGGCAUUUUCCAGGUCCGAGGCCAGUCAUGGUGGAGCCAAGAGGAUCACUGAGUGAGCCAAUCCUUCCUUGUUCCCAUUCCCAUUACUCCACAACCGCGACCUCUCAGAGUGGAGGAGGGCUGGUCUCUGCCCAUGUCUUCCUUUCUCUCCUUCCUUCCUACCUACUGUCUUCCUUCCUUUCUUUAGGGGGAGGAAGGGCUUGGAGUAUAUUAAAGAAAAGAAGAAAUACAAAACU